GAUUUCUCCAGCGACUAAACUGAAUUUAGGAUCUGGGAAGAGCCCGGCAGGGGCAGUUGCAGGAAGAGCAGGUGUCUAGGUCACCAGCAAAAGCACAACACACACAGACUCUGAUGGGAAGAUGAUUGACUCACGUAGAGAAUAACAGGCCUCAUGUCCUGCAGAUGACUCUGUGCUGUGAUCUCCAGAAGGAUGGCAAUUCUCAGAGCUUCUGAAAACAAGGUUAUAAGGGACAGGCUACCUCACAUUCCAUCUGGAGUCACUCAGCUGAC